ACGUAGGGUGCAAGCGUUAAUCGGAAUUACUGGGCGUAAAGCGUGCGCAGGCGGUGAUGUAAGACAGGUGUGAAAUCCCCAGGCUUAACCUGGGAACUGCGUCGGAUACUGGAUGGCUUGAAUUCGGGAGAGGGAUGUGGAAUUCCAGGUGUAGCGGUGAAAUGCGUAGAUAUCUGGAGGAACACCGGUGGCGAAGGCGGCAUCCUGGACCGGCAUUGACGCUGAGGCGCGAAAGCCAGGGGAGCAAACGGGA
rnacentral:rRNA from 1 species